UUUUAUAUUUUAGAAUAACUUCAAAAGCUUAGUUUUAAAAGUUGGCAUUUUUGGACAGAAACUGGAGGAUACUGUUCGUUAUGAGAAGAGAUAUGGGAACCGUCUGGCUCCGAUGUUGGUGGAGCAGUGCGUGGACUUUAUCCGACAAAGGGGGCUGAAAGAAGAGGGUCUCUUUCGACUGCCAGGCCAGGCUAAUCUUGUUAAGGAGCUCCAAGAUGCCUUUGACUGUGGGGAGAAGCCAUCAUUUGACAGGUAGAUGUCACAAUUUUACUAACCAUCUUCACUGAGAAAUUCAGACUCAACUGACAGGAUGCAGUGAGCUGAGGAGGCAUAACCUUGAUUGAUGUGGUAACAGUUUACAACAUAGAUUAUUUGGCCACAGGAGUUUGCAUUGUUUCUAUUAAGUUACAAAGUCAAAAAUUGGGCACC
rnacentral:sRNA from 1 species